rnacentral:rRNA from 1 species
UUAGUGGCGGACGGGUGAGUAACACGUGGGAACGUGCCCUUUGGUUCGGAACAACUCAGGGAAACUUGAGCUAAUACCGAAUGUGCCCUUCGGGGGAAAGAUUUAUCGCCAUUGGAGCGGCCCGCGUCUGAUUAGCUAGUUGGUGAGGUAAAGGCUCACCAAGGCUACGAUCAGUAGCUGGUCUGAGAGGAUGAUCAGCCACACUGGGACUGAGACACGGCCCAG